AUUGAACGCUAGCGGCAUGCUUUACACAUGCAAGUCGAACGAGUGGCGGACGGGUGAGUAAUAUAUCGGAACGUGCCCAGUAGCGGGGGAUAACUACUGGAAAGAGUGGCUAAUCCCGCAUACUAUUGGAGCUGCCCAUAUCGGCUUAGCUAGUUGGUGGGGUAACGGCUCACCAAGGCAACGAUCCGUAGCUGGUUUGAGAGGACGACCAGCCACACUGGGACUGAGACACGGCCCAGACUCCGACGGGAGGCAGCAGUGGGGAAUUUUGGACAAUGGGGGCAACCCUGAUCCAGCCAUCCCGCGUGUAUGAGAAGGCCUUCGGGUUGUAAAGUACUUUUGGCAGGGAAGCGGUAUCUGCAGAAGAAGCACCGGCUAACUACGUGCCAGCAGCCGCGGUAAUAC
rnacentral:rRNA from 1 species